GAUAGGAUCUUCGGAUCUAAAUUACUUGGUGGCCGGGACAUCUUCUUCUGCCGGGUCUGCACCAUCGCAAGCAGAGUACCAACGGUCUCAAGAAGAGGCUCAAGUUAUGCGAACCCGAAUGGUUGAUCUUGAAGCUAGGGUUGAAGCUAGGGUUGAAGAAGAAAGGAAUCUAAUUGUAUCUCGUCUUGAAGAAGAAAGGAAUCUACUUGCAACUCGUCUUGAUGACGAAAGGAAAGCAAGGGAAGAACUUCAAAAACAACUUCAAGAGUUUAUGAAGAAUUGGUGUCCUCCCUCUAAUUAGUUGUAGUUUUUUAUAUCUUUUUGGAAUUACGUUGAAUUGUAUUAGCUUACGGUUUAAACAUAUUGGAACUUGCGUUGUAACGCAUGAUUUUUGAAUUUAUGUCAUUGUAACUUCGGUGAA